GCCUUAGUACGGCGAGUGAAGCGGCAACAGCUCAAAUUUGAAAGCUGGCUCCUUUGGGGUCCGCGUUGUAAUUUGUAGAGGAUGAUUCGGCAAGGGCUCCCGCCUAAGUCCCCUGGAACGGGGCGUCAUAGAGGGUGAGAAUCCCGUAUGCGGUGGGCUGCCUUAGCCAUGUGAAUCUCCUUCGACGAGUCGAGUUGUUUGGGAAUGCAGCUCUAAAUGGGAGGUAAAUUUCUUCUAAAGCUAAAUACCGGCCAGAGACCGAUAGCGCACAAGUAGAGUGAUCGAAAGAUGAAAAGCACUUUGGAAAGAGAGUUAAAAAGUACGUGAAAUUGUUGAAAGGGAAGCGCUUGCAACCAGACUUGUCCGCAGUUGCUCAGCCGGUCUCCUGACCGGUGUACUCUUCUGCGGCCAGGCCAGCAUCAGUUCGGGCGGUCGGAUAAAGACCUCGGGAAUGUAGCUCCUCUCGGGGAGUGUUAUAGCCCGGGGUGGAAUGCGGCCAGCCUGGACUGAGGAUCUCGCUUCGGCUAGGAUGCUGGCGUAAUGGCUGUAAGCGGCCCGUCUUGAAACACGGACCAAGGAGUCUAACAUCUAUGCGAGUGUUUGGGUGUCAAACCCAUGCGCGUAAUGAAAGUGAACGGAGGUGGGAACCCUCACGGGUGCACCAUCGACCGAUCCUGAUGUCUUCGGAUGGAUUUGAGUAAGAGCAUAGCUGUUGGGACCCGAAAGAUGGUGAACUAUGCCUGAAUAGGGUGAAGCCAGAGGAAACUCUGGUGGAGGCUCGCAGCGGUUCUGACGUGCAAAUCGAUCGUCAAAUUUGGGUAUAGGGGCGAAAGACUAAUCGAACCAU
rnacentral:rRNA from 1 species